rnacentral:rRNA from 2 species
AGAUUAAGUUAUUAAGGGCGCACGGUGGAUGCCUUGGCACUAGAAGCCGAUGAAGGACGUUACUAACGACGAUAUGCUUUGGGGAGCUGUAAGUAAGCUGUGAUCCAGAGAUUUCCGAAUGGGGGAACCCAAUACGAGUUAUGUCGUAUUAUCGAUACGUAAAUACAUAGCGUAUCGAAGGUAGACGCGGAGAACUGAAACAUCUUAGUACCCGCAGGAAGAGAAAGAAAAAUCGAUUCCCUGAGUAGCGGCGAGCGAAACGGGAAGAGCCCAAACCAACGAGCUUGCUUGUUGGGGUUGUAGGACACUCUAUACGGAGUUACAAAGGAAUAGAUUAGACGAAGCAUCUGGAAAGAUGCAUCAAAGAAGGUAAUAAUCCUGUAGUCGAAAAUCUGUUCUCUCUUGAGUGGAUCCUGAGUACGACGGAACACGAGAAAUUCCGUCGGAAUCUGGGAGGACCAUCUCCCAAGGCUAAAUACUCUCUAGUGACCGAUAGUGAACCAGUACCGUGAGGGAAAGGUGAAAAGUACCCCGGAAGGGGAGUGAAAGAGAACUUGAAACCGUGUGCUUACAAGUAGUCAGAGCCCGUUAAUGGGUGAUGGCGUGCCUUUUGUAGAAUGAACCGGCGAGUUACGAUUUGAUGCAAGGUUAAGCAGUGAAUGUGGAGCCGUAGCGAAAGCGAGUCUGAAUAGGGCGUUGAGUAUUUGGUCGUAGACCCGAAACCAGGUGAUCUACCCUUGACCAGGUUGAAGUUCAGGUAACACUGAAUGGAGGACCGAACCGACUUACGUUGAAAAGUGAGCGGAUGAGUUGAGGGUAGCGGAGAAAUUCCAAUCGAACCUGGAGAUAGCUGGUUCUCUCCGAAAUAGCUUUAGGGCUAGCCUCAAGUGAUGAUUAUUGGAGGUAGAGCACUGUUUGGACGAGGGGCCCUUCUCGGGUUACCGAAUUCAGACAAACUCCGAAUGCCAAUCAAUUUAACUUGGGAGUCAGAACGCGGGUGAUAAGGUCCGUGUUCGAAAGGGAAACAGCCCAGACCACCAGCUAAGGUCCCAAAAUAUAUGUUAAGUGGAAAAGGAUGUGGCGUUGCCCAGACAACUAGUAUGUUGGCUUAGAAGCAGCCAUCAUUUAAAGAGUGCGUAAUAGCUCACUAGUCGAGUGACACUGCGCCGAAAAUGUACCGGGGCUAAACAUAUUACCGAAGCUGUGGAUUGUCCGUAGGACAAUGGUAGGAGAGCGUUCUAAGGGCGUUGAAGCAUGAUCGCAAGGACAUGUGGAGCGCUUAGAAGUGAGAAUGCCGGUGUGAGUAGCGAAAGACGGGUGAGAAUCCCGUCCACCGAUUGACUAAGGUUUCCAGAGGAAGGCUCGUCCGCUCUGGGUUAGUCGGGUCCUAAGCUGAGGCCGAUAGGCGUAGGCGAUGGAUAACAGGUUGAUAUUCCUGUACCACCAUGAAUCGUUUUAAGCGAUGGGGGGACGCAGUAGGAUAGGCGAAGCGUACGAUUGGAUUGUACGUCCAAGCAGUAAGACUGAGUGUUAGGCAAAUCCGGCACUCAUAAGGUCAAGCUGUGAUGGGGAGAGGAAAUUGUUUCCUCGAGUCGUUGAUUUCACACUGCCGAGAAAAGCCUCUAGCUAGAUUUAUGGUGCCCGUACCGCAAA